AUACAGCUGAAGAGUUCCAAAUAGGACAAAACGUGCGUCCUGGAU
rfam:Schistosoma rodhaini strain Burundi genome assembly, scaffold: SROB_scaffold0007045